rnacentral:rRNA from 1 species
AACGAACGCUGGCGGCGUGGAUAAGACAUGCAAGUCGAACGGGACAGGUAGCAAUAUCUGUCUAGUGGCGAACGGGUGCGUAACACGUGGGCAACAUGCCUGGAAGAGCGGGAUAGCCCGGGGAAACUCGGAUUAAUACCGCAUGUGACAACGGGGCGGCUUCGCCCUGUUUUCAAAGGUGGGGACCGCAAGGCCUGCCGCUUCCAGAUUGGCCCGCGUCCUAUCAGCUAGUUGGCGGGGUAAAAGCCCACCAAGGCGACGACGGGUAGCUGGGCUGAGAGGACGACCAGCCAGACUGGAAAUGAGAAGCGGUCCAGACACCGACGGGUGGCAGCAGUCGAGAAUCUUUCACAAUGGGGGAAACCCUGAUGGAGCGACGCCGCGUGGAGGAUGACGGUCUUCGGAUUGUAAACUCCUGUCAUGAAAGAACAAGCGGAGCGGGUGAACAGCCCGCCGAGUUGAUAGUAUUUCAAGAGGAAGGGACGGCUAACUUCGUGCCAGCAGCCGCGGUAAGAC